GCCAACACAGACAUGUGUGAGCUACUUAAUGGCUGUGGCUUCACGUCUUCCCUUCCACUCUCACACAAUAUCUCCUGUGGUCCACACUAAUGGAAAACAUGCAGCAAAGGGAAUUCUGGGAAAUGCAGUUCAGCCUCAUCAAGUUGACACCCAUCAAGCCACCAUACCAGGUCAGUUGAUUCCAGGAUGUGUGGCCUUUCCAUGACAACACAUUGCCCCUCCCCAAAUGGCUCUGUCCAUUGCUUGUUCAAUAUUUACACCCAAGAAAGCCAUUCUUCCUAGGUCAGCCCUGUUUAAGUAUUGAUGCCACAGGCCUGGAACAGGUCAAGGCAUGGUGGAGAAGGACCAGGAGGUGAGCAUCAUCCUGAGGAAACCCUACAACAAUUAAACUGCAGUUGGAAAGAAAAAGAGUCUCAUCCUUGGGGUGAGCACAGUAGAGGUAAGGCAUUUUGUCUUCCACAUAUCCCUAGCCUGCCAGUACCACUCUCUCCCAUAGUUAGCCACCAGGUACAGCUGUGCUGUCUCUGUACUGAGCUAAAGUGUCCAGCUGAUGGGGAGGGAAGACAGUGGGUUGAACUAUAACCCUGCUUCUCUCACCAGUCUCAGCGAUGUUUCAGCCCAGAGGAAUAAAAGCUUUUUCCCCAAUCCAUGGGCCUGAAGGAGCCACCUUUUUAUAAUUUGCACAAAGGCAUUAGAGGUGUAGCUGUGCCCCUUGAAUCAUCUGCCUAUAGCUGUCUGACAUAAUACAAAAUACAUAUUUGGUCUUCUACACCAGUUCCUGACACAUAGGUCUUAAAAACCUCAUCAUUUCCUGAAUGAUAGGAGUAAGAGAAGCACCAUUUGUUGUAUUUGGUCUUAUUCUCGGUUCCCUGACACAAGAGCUUUUAAGACCCUUGGAAUCUCCAGAGUGAUGUCUUUUUUAUGCUAAUGAGAUGACUAGUACCUGGGGUCCCUAGCCAGCUUCAGGAUGAGGGCUGGUCACCAGAAAACCAAGCCUUGAUGAGAGGGUUGGAACUUGCAGCCAUAUCUCCCUUCCCCAUUCCCCACCUCAACUUCCUGGGAGGGAGGUGGGCUGGAGAGUGAGUCAAUCACUAACAGCCAGUGAUUGAAGCAACCACAUCUACGCAAUGAAACCCCCAUAAAAACCCUAAACAAGGGGUUCAGAGAGCUCCUGAGUUGGUGGACACAUUCACAUGCUGGGAGGGUGGUGCACCCCAACUCUGUGGGGACAGAAGCUCCUGCACUUGGUACCCUUCUGGACCUCCCUCCAGAGUCAACUGGGUACAAGUCACAAUGGUAAGCACCACAGAGAAAUACAGAGAUAAAGAAGUCUUGGUUUCUGCACUCACUGGGCCUCCAACUUUGGAAGGAAAGAUAUGAUAAGUCCUAAAGCAACAUAAUCCAAGUGGGCCUUAGAUUGGAUUUGGACGGACGAAACUGACAAUAGAAAGGGCAUUUCUAUGAAUAUCCAACACUCUGCGUGUCCCUGUCUGAUCAAAGUACAUAAACAGACAAUCCUGAAAUAGUAUACUUUAAGAAUUUGGACUUCACUUACCCCAAGUAAAUACAAGGAAGAUUUUUGUCUAAGACCCUCUCCACAAAGACGACUUGAGAGCCAGGUAAAUGGCUACAUCUGAACAAAAUACUCAUAGCAGGGUGUUUUCCAAGUCUUUCUGAAAAAGCAGUACCUACUGCAUACGAUGCAAUGUAAAUUGUUGAAACUCCUUUAAAUAGAUGGGAAAUACAAUGGUAGGGGAGGGGUGGGUGAAGAAUAAGAAAAACACUUGAAAUAAGAGAUUUCAUUGUAUCAAGAAUCUUUAUAUUAAAAGAGCUGUAUUAAAAAAAAGCAAAUCAAACCCCACACAUAACAAGAAAAUGCAAUAGUUUCUGAGGUGUGGUCUUUGGUGAGUUCUAUUGGGAUAUACUUAUAUGCUCUCUUUCAACCAGGCCAUCACCAAACAACUGUUUGUUCUGUACUUAACAAUUAAAACUGACAAAAAGACUUAUCCAUCAUGAGCUUCAAGCAGCCAUAGGAGUUAAGAACACAUAUGGUGCUUUUAUAUUUACACAAGCAAUUUCUCAUGAGUCCUAUAGAGACUGGGGAAAUAGAACUAUACUAGUUAUUCCUUUUUAGAAAGAGCACUUGUAAAAUACAGAAAGUGAUUAGAUAAAUAUCCCUCUAUACUGAAUUGAUCAGUUGAAGAACUUUAGAAAAGUCAGCAGUUCAUUACCUGAGUUUCCCAUUUAAAGGCUAAAUAGUAAUUAAAUGUUUUUUACUUAAGUGAACAAAAACUUACAAUAUUAAAAAGGGCCAGUGUCAGAAGAUUUAGACUCAAAAUUAAGUUUGAGGCUUUUGAAGGUUUAUAAAAUCUAAUAGGAAUAUCUGAAUUUUCCUUCUUAAUUAUAACAUGAAGUCAUAGAGCUAUACUGACUUACUAAAUGUUAUCAAAACUUAGGUUGGGGGUCAGCUUGCAAAAUCAUUAAAAACCAAAUCAAUAUUUUUUGGAAUUUUGAGCAAAAUUUUACAAGUGAUAAAAAUGAAUUAUUAGUGACCUCGGUUACGAACCCAUAUAAGAUUUUUAGUUAACAUCAGAUAAAGACUUCAGCAUAAGCAUGAUUUUUAACCUGAAGAGAUCCCUUUUGAAGGGUAAUAUAGAAAAAACUAUAAAUUUUAUCCAGAAAAAUAGUGCACCCGGUGUUUUGCCAGCAGUUACCUAAGCUUGCCUUUCAACAAGGUAUUUUUGUCAUGCUCAACCAUGGACAAUCGGCCAACAAAUUAUUUGUUUAAAACAGAUAUUAUGUAUUUAAAACUGAAUACAACACACUGUUCAAACUCAGGAUUCCAACAAUAUUCUGAAAUUGAAUACUUUAUCAUACAGGAACUAUAACCAUGUUAUUAUUCUGAGCACAUUAUUUCAAUUUCGGGUCUAAAUUAAUCAGCAAAAUCACCAUUCUAAAACAUUAACAUAGAGCAGAAACUUAAAGCACUUUGGUCUGUAUAAUUAGAUUAUUAAACAAAUCAAAAGAAUCUCUUUCCCUAAUGCUUCACCCCAUGAUGUAUCGUAAAGUUGAAAACACAACUUAGGCACACAUUUCUGAGGAGCAAUUCCCAUCAUUGGUUUCUGUAUACGAGUCAAAGUAGCAUUGGGUCAAUUCACCCAAGGAGCAAUUUUAAAAAACAACAUUUGGAAAACCCAAAGCAUGUUUCUUUGGGUUUCUUUCAAUGUUAAGUCACAAAACUUACUAGGAUCAGUCCAGAGCUCAGAAAAUAGUCAAUGUGAAUUUGGUACAUAAAACAAAGUUCUCAUAAUCAAUGGUUCUGGAUCUGGGUCAAGGGCACAAAUAGUGUAUUUCAUUUUCCUGUUCUACAUGCUUAAUAGUCAGUGAAAUACUUUGCCCAAGAGCCCAUGCUAUGUUGGAUUUUAAGUACAAAGGUAAAUAAAAGCUCUGCUGAUGGUCAGGCAAAAAUUAUUGCUAAGCAACAACCACUUAGCAAUGUAUUCACACUUCAAUGAACAAUUUUAGAUGAGAUACAUAUUUUCAGCCAGACAGCAGAUGGAGUUCCCGUGCUUGUAGCACUAGUAUUCACAGCAAGGGCAGGCUUGAGGGAAAUCGAUUAAUAUCCAGUCAUCCCUCAGUAUCAUGGGGAAUUGAUUUCAGGAUGCCCUCGGACACCAAAAUCUGAGGAUGUUCAAAUCUUCGAUAUAAAAUGGUGCAGAAAUUGCAUAUAACCUAUGCACAUCCUCCCAUAUACUUUAAAUUAUCUCUAGGUAAUUUAUAAUACCUAAAACAAUGUAAAUGCUAUUUAAAUAGUUGUUAUACUGUAUUGUUUUGGGAAUAAUGACAAGGAAAAAGUCUGUACAUAUUCAGCACAGACACAACUUUCUUUUUGAAUAGCUUCCAUCUACAGUUGGUGAAAUCCACAGAUGCAGAACCCACAAGUACGGAAGGCUGACUGUAUAUAUAACUGGAUUAUUUUGUGCAACAGGCAAAAUUUGAAUAGAUUACCACUGCCACACUGUGCUGAGAAAAGGAGAGGGCCUCACUGGAGCACACCAGCUCUUUAACAGGGUGCUUUAGUAAAUUUUUUUUCCAUCUGAUGCAGCCGCAUAUCAAGAUAUGAAACAUGAUUAAAUUACUCAAAAACCAGGCUUCUAAUUCUAUGAUUUUUAAAUGUAAUUACCUACUAGAAUAUUAAAAUAAAUCUAGGUUCUCCAAGGUUGUUCACCAGGACUACAUAGCAGUAUUGAGAUGAAGGUGGGAGGAGCCUCUGUAUUUAGGUUUUAAAUAUUUUAAAAAUGUUGGUAAAAUGCAAAUAAGUUAAAUGAUAGAGGACUAAUUCAAACAUACCAGCCACUAAAGAUUAUUUUCUUCCCUCACAAAAACCUUGCCUAAGGAUAACAAGAACUGUCAGAUAUAUGAAAUAAUACAAUUUAGGGUUUUGUUGGAGGCAGGGGAACAUUUAAAAUACUCUAUGACAAUGCACUUAUGUGAAGUUCCACUGAAUGAAGGUCUUGGCCAAUGGAGAAGGCAGCUGGUAAUAAAAUAACUAGCACAGAUUCCUUGAUACACACAUAAUGAAAACAAAAAUAAGAAACCUGUACAGGUGUAAACAAGUUACAAAUGGCCUUGGCAAAAUAUCUUCCUCUAUU